CAAUCCCGCUGCGGCUGCCCAAUCACCCCGCCGCCCCUCCGCCUCCCGUCCCGCAGCAAAAAUCGCGACCCCUUGCCGCAGCAGCCUCUCAUCCCUCUCCCUCCCCGCCCCACCUUCAUCUUCAAGCGCCGUCGACCACCACCAACAUCUCCACCUCGCCGUGAAGGGUUCCGACCGGUGCCGGGACGGAGGUGCUGGAGGUCGGCUCUCUCUCCACGGUGCGCCGUCGUCAAGGCUUGGAGCACGCUGGGCGAGGAGUUGCGCCGCGGCCGUCCUCUGCUCCACCCCGGACGGUUAUAGCUUGUUUGAUCCCGAGAUCAUGCCAUGGAAAAAUUAAGUAGAUGGCAUACCACGACGAGGACCAGCAGCGCCAAACAGCCGGCCUUCAGGGUCUCCUUCCGGUUCCUGUAGCUGUAUGUACGUGCGACCAUGUGCUCUUUUUGGUGACUUGCUGCCUAGAGUUGCACUGGUAAUUGGAGUACAUCUAGGCAGCAGACCCUGGGCGUUGAGAAGAAUAUGUGAUUGUCCUCAACAACAUGGCGUGGAACCUCGCUGUCACCACGUCAUAUGUCUUACUGGUGCGGUUCGCUUCGACAGGCGGUUGGCAUCACGGCCCGGCCUCGACGGCUCCUCGGUGACCUGAAACUCGUGCAUGCCUUCCACGUGAGUGACUGAGUGAGUGCAUCUCCUCCCUGUCCAGAAUUCGUCAACACAUUGCCAUCUUCAUCUUCAGUUCAUAGUGCCCCUCCCUGCUUCAAGGAAACUCAACAAAUGAUUCCCAGGUUGUCUGCCCUUGUUCAUAGUGUUCAAGUUUAUCGUUGUUCACUGAAUAAAAUUAGUGGAUUGGUUGAUGCUGUACAUGUAUAAGACAGCCUUAUAGAUGUGACUUAAUAUGCGUGUCAACUCUGACAAAGAUGAUUAUUUUUUUCUAUUUGGAGCAUAGGCGCCCUCCUGUUCCAGUUCCAUGGUCGAAUGGGACAUGCGCCCAAGCUGGCGACAACAUCGUUUACUCCAACCUCAACCUUGCUGUCCAGCACGAGCCUCGUGCUGGAUGGCAAGAGGGUGCAGCAAGGCAGUAGGGUACAAAUAUGACGAUCAGGAGCGCCGAGCAGCUGGGGUUCAGGGUGAUAUUCUCAUCCCUGUUCCUCUAUGUAGGUGGCUGUGUAGCUGGAUGUCCAGCAUGUGCUUGUUGGUGGCUUCCUGCCAAGUAGGAGUAUUUCCUAGAGUUGCACUAGUAAUUCGAUAAGACGAUUAUAUAGAUGGGUAAUUAUUUCUUUGGUUAGUUAAAAUAAUUGGGCCUUUCCUUGUCGUCUAGACAAAUGACAUGACCCGUAGAUAUGCAUGUCAAAGAGUAAUUUUGUUUGUUUUACCAACUAAGUCAGAUUUCAUUUUUGACCAUUAGUAAUUUUGUUUAUCAAGAUAUGUAAGUAGCAACUCGCUAUAACUUUAAGAUAAAAUAUAAGCCAAUGGAUGAAAGGGAGGAAAUCGUUGACUCGGAAAUACAGAGCUUAAUUUAGCUGAUCAAAAGUUUUUGUUAUUGGUAAGCAAGAAACAAGCAGGAGGAGAUGUGCUUGUUCAAUCUCCCUUGUUGCAAGGGAAAAAAAGAGUGCAUUUUCGUUUGUUAGAAACAUCUCCCUUGUUAAGGGCAGGCAAACAGCUGGAAUUGAUCUGUUAGAAAACAAACAAAGGUGCAGCUGCCUUGCACUUGCAUACAUAUACAGUAGUAGUCAUAGGCAUAGAACAAGGAAGGAAAGACGACAAGUAAACUGGCAAACCCUUAAUGCUCAAGUAAUAAGAAGUAGUAUUAAUAUGGAUUUGGCAGUCGUAACGGGGUAUCUAUCUGAGCAUACUGGCUAGUUUUACUUGGGAAAUCAAUCAUAUGAAGCUACCUUAAUCUAGUACUAGUAGAUUGGAGACGCAAAAAGUUUUGGCCUUUUAUAGUUCAAAACACUCAAUGGAUGACCUUUUCCUUUGGUGCACAAUAUAGAGGUUCUAUUGAAUGGCUUUGUCUGACCCUGCACUUGAAGAAGACAACUUUUCUUUCUUGUUGCUUCUCUCUCUUUCUCUCCUGUAAUAUCUUCUGUUCUCUUGUCUUGUCCCCUAGAUACUAGUAAUAUUGUGAAAUAAAUUUAGUAGUCCAGAAGAGAAGAAGGUCUAGUCUUGCCUGGAUGAGGCGGAGCGUGAGGUUGGUUCUAGACACACCUCACAGUAGCGUCGAGGAGAUGGUGGAGAUCAGCAAAAAAUUAGGUCAUCCACCAUGGAUCUUCUCUUUGUCUCCAAGCAGCUUCUCCAUGCCCUUGAUGAGAUUGGGCCAACGCUGCUGGCCCUCAGGCAAGACAUUCGACAAAAUGUUCAGGUGAUUGCUCUAGAGGCCAUAUCAAUCUUCCCUGGGUUUUUAUCCCAAGAUACUGCAUGACAUGGCCUGAGAGCAUGGUAAUAUUUCUUGCACUUGUACCUAUCUAGUUCACCGAUUUGUGUUGAUUGAAUCCAUGGUGGGGUCGUGGGGCUCUGUAUCUAUCUAGUACGGAGUACAACUGUAUUCCAAGCAAUUUACUCUCUUGACUGCUGUUGGACUUCCUCUGUCCCGGCUUCCAUUGUGCUGCCUUGAACAGAUCCAUCCGCCUUGUCGCUGAUCUCAUCCAACCUCUGGGGUGGCAGUUUGCAGUCAUUAUUCAGAGCACCAUGCAUCCAAGGCGCUGACCCGGCGCCCACCGGGUGAAGCGUUUAAUCAAGUGAAGCCACCUCCACGCUCACGGACCUGGCCUCUGGUGCCCAGCCGCCGCUUCUGCUUCGUUGUCCCCAUAGCGCGACCAUCCGACGAAUACGCCGCUGUUGUGUUCUGCUCUCCUGUGAAGCACCAAAGUUGCGCUUCCACAACAAAUGAACUUCUAGAUUGUUUGAUUCUACCACAAGAAAGCUCAGGUAUGCUUGACGAAGUAAGUUUUUCGACGAACUGAUGGGUCUAAUCCUCUUCCAUUAGUUGCUUGUGAAGUAAGCCUAGUUUCGCUUGUUAAGGUGCAAGAGAUGUUUGGUUUUGAUCUAGCCAAGCCAAAGGAGUUCAUUGACACAUCUGGCCAUGUCUUCUUUCAUUCCUUUUUCUCAGGGCGUGAUGUUGCUGGUCUUAUUUGGAUAUCCAUGGUGUUCUCAGUCGCUAUCGACAGCCAAACACAAGUAGGUAUUGAAGUGUUGCAAGCCGAGCGUGAGAUGCCAAUAGACACAAACUGUUGGGCGAAUUUGACCUUGUUGGUAUCCUACCAGAACUAAGGGGCUCACCAUAGAUCGAGGUAACGUUCAACAUCGAUGUCAAGAAUCUCCAGGAAUUCUAGUCAUCUUCGUCCAUCUCGACAAGUUCUACAAUGAUGGGCUAUACAGAUUAAUGCAAACAUUACACACACAUACCUCGGCUUCCCUCCAGUGCGAUGCCAACGGUUUGGCCGCAACCUUGGCGCUAUGGGUCACCUCAUCCUUGGAUCUGG